UUGGUCUAUGAAUGAUUCACUGGGUCAGCAGUUUCACAUUGGCAAACUAAGGAUUUGUCUUUGAAUCGUUAGAUGACACAUAACACAGUCAUGCUAUAUCAUAUGCAAAAGUCCACGAGAUUCCAAUCCUUCUUACUAUACAAAUACUUGGACAAACAUGGACAAACUAUAAGAAAAAAACCGUAAUGGCGUGAUUUUUGCCAGAUGGAGCCGAUAUAGUUUCAG
rnacentral:lncRNA from 1 species